GCCAAUGAUGACAAGUUUAAUGGCUGAACGUAGGUUCUUGCACUCGCUUCGUGUUGAAAAUUGCAAGAACUAGGACGGUCUGAGGC